rnacentral:rRNA from 1 species
UACGUAGGGUGCAAGCGUUGUCCGGAAUUAUUGGGCGUAAAGAGCUCGUAGGCGGCUCGUCGCGUCGGCUGUGAAAACCUGGGGCUCAACCCCGGGCCUGCAGCCGAUACGGGCGAGCUAGAAUUCGGUAGGGGAGACUGGAAUUCCUGGUGUAGCGGUGAAAUGCGCAGAUAUCAGGAGGAACACCGGUGGCGAAGGCGGGUCUCUGGGCAUUAACUGACGCUGAGGAGCGAAAGCAUGGGGAGCGAACAGG